GCACCGGUGGCGAGAGUGGCAUGUUCCUGAUGAGUUUGAUUGUUUUCCUAAGCUUGAAAGGCUUUUGAUAGUAGACUGUCCGGUGUUAACCGGAGAUCUGCCAGCUUACCUUCCAGCUCUGGAGGAACUUGUCAUUGGUGGAUGCGAAGAGCUCGCAUGUUCACUGCCGAGAGCUCCCAAGCUUCGCCAAUUACUUGUAACGGGUACGGUGACUUCUAUGGAGACGCAGCUAGCCAAGUCCGUAUUGGAGUGCCUGCCCACGUCCAAUCGCCGUAUCUCCAAACUUUGAGAAUCGUGAAUUGUUGGUCGGCAAUACCAAUUUCAGGAGAUUAUUUGCCUGAUUCAUUACAAUAUCUGCAAAUCGCUAUGUGUCCAAAAUUAACAUUCUCAGAGCAACUGCAACACAAGUCGCUAAUGGAGAUACUUGUGUACAAGUGUGAUUCACUGACGUCAUUUGCAUUGGGGGCCCUUCCAAGUCUCCGUGUCUUACAAAUCUCAGAGUGCCCCGGUUUAGUAUCCAUGCCAGCGCUAAGGCUGGCUGCGCCCCACCUAGAGGAGCUGUGUGUAGAGAAAUGCCAAGAAAUGGAACCUUUUGGAGAGGACUGCCUGCCAUCAAGCUUGACAACUCUUAGGAUCUAUGAUUGCCAGAAACUAGAGAGGUGGAUAACAUCAAACGGUUUGCAGACUGAAGGCCUUAUCCAUCUUUUCCUUAUAGAGUGGAAUGAAGUUAAGUCGUUCCCAAGAGAGGGCUGCCUUCCUGCUUCCCUUCAGUCUCUACAACUGUAUGACUUUGCAAAUCUGGAGACGCUAGACUGCAAGGGCCUUCAGCAUCUCACCUCCCUUCAAACAUUAGCAAUUGAAGACUAUCCAAAGCUGGAGAAUAUCACACAAGAAAACCUGCCUGCCUCCAUACCAAAACUCAGAUUUGAGGGAGAAUGUCCUUUGAGGCGUAAGCUGGAAGAGAUGAAUGAUCCACGGAUUCAGUUUGAAACUUAGGACACAGACUAGGAGGAUCCGUUUCGUUCAUUCUGAUUUUCCACCAUUUCUUCACGGAUUCUGUCUAUUAAUAGGUUAUGGAGGAGCUGAAGCGUGAAUAUCAAUACACAGCUGAGGCAAGGUGGUAAUUGGGGUGCACCGUGCACUGAAUCUGAAAUGCAGAGUUUAAUGUUGCAAGAAAUUCAUAGGUAUGGUAAUGCAAGCAUUCCAUGAAAACCAGUGCAAGGAUGUUGUGGUUUCAAGCAUCCUGUGAGUGCUUGGCACAACACACAUUUCAUCCAUUUUAGAUUGGUAUUGGACCUCACAAAGACCCUGAAAGCAGUAUGAUUUCUUCCUUGAAACUGUUGAAUCUGCGAUGGGGACUGCUAGACUGUGUAUCAAAGAAAAACCAGUAGCAAUUUAAUGUUUGGUUGUACCCCAGCUAGCUUAAUUGUCUUGGAAUAGAACAUCUCCUACUUCUUUGAUCUGACUCUUCGAGUCUUCGUCAAUAAAAAUCCUCUGCUCAAUUUGGUGGAAAAGAUGAUGAAAUCCACCAUGGGGGAAAUUAUGCGCUUUGAGGCUAAAACUCAUACGGGAACUCAAGACGAUCUUUAUCAUCCCAAGUUGGAAAUGAAAGAGCAGAGUUCUGUGUAAAUGCAGCUUGUUAGGCUCCAUGAGAAUUUUUUAUUUCUUGAAUCAUUGUUUGAGCAUUUUAGUCAAUUAAAUACUUUUCG